GACGAACGCNGGCGGCGUGCUUAACACAUGCAAGUCGAACGAAGAGCGACGGAAGCUUGCUUCUAUCAAUCUUAGUGGCGAACGGGUGAGUAACGCGUAAUCAACCUGCCCUUCAGAGGGGGACAACAGUUGGAAACGACUGCUAAUACCGCAUACGAUCUAAUCUCGGCAUCGAGGAUAGAUGAAAGGUGGCCUCUACAUGUAAGCUAUCACUGAAGGAGGGGAUUGCGUCUGAUUAGCUAGUUGGAGGGGUAAUGGCCCACCAAGGCGAUGAUCAGUAGCCGGUCUGAGAGGAUGAACGGCCACAUUGGGACUGAGACACGGCCCAGACUCCUACGGGAGGCAGCAGUGGGGAAUCUUCCGCAAUGGACGAAAGUCUGACGGAGCAACGCCGCGUGAGUGAUGACGGCCUUCGGGUUGUAAAGCUCUGUUAAUCGGGACGAAAGGCCUUCUUGCGAAUAGUUAGGAGGAUNGA
rnacentral:rRNA from 1 species